UGUGUAGGCGGGCUUGCAAGUUGGAUGUGUAAUACCCAGAGCUUAACUCGGGUGCUGCAUCUGAAACUACAAGUCUUGAGUGUCGGAGAGGUAAGUGGAAUUCCUAGUGUAGCGGUGGAAUGCGUAGAUAUUAGGAGGAACAUCAGUGGCGAAGGCGACUUACUGGACGAUAACUGACGCUGAGGCACGAAAGCGUGGGAGGCAAACA
rnacentral:rRNA from 1 species